GAGGGCGCUGAGGACGGGGCGCUGGAGAAGCUGCGGGGCUGGAGCCGAUCCAUCGAGGACCUGCACCCCCCCGGGGCCCCCCCGGCUCCGUUCGGCAGCGGCUGGGCACGUUCGGCCCGACACGGAGCCCUGCGGUGCGUGCCCACCCUGCGCCGUCCUUGGUCACGCGUGCCCUGGGUGCCAUGUGCUGUGCGUGCCACGUGUCACUCUGUCCUGUGUGUGCCAUCCUGUGCCACGUGUGCCAUGCCAUGCACGGUCCUGCGCCAUGUGUGCCAUGUGCUCUGUGUGCGACGUGUCACUCUGUGCCAUGUUCUCUGUGCCAUGUGCCAUCCUGUGCCAUCCUGUGCCAUGCCAUGCACUGUCCUGUGCCGUGUGUGCCAUCCUGUGCCACGUGUGCCACGCUGUGCAUCAUCCUGUGCCACGUGUGCCAUGCCAUGCACUGCCCUGUGCCGUGUGUGCCAUGCUGUGUGCUGUCCCGUGUGCCAUUCUGUGCCAUGCGUGCCAUGCCAUGCACUGUCCUGUGCCGUGUGCGCCAUGUGCUCUGUGUGCCAUGUGUCACUCUGUGCCAUGUGCUCUGUGUGCCAUGCACUGUCCUGUGCCAUGUGUGCCAUGUGUUCUGUGUGCCGUGUGUCACUCUGUGCUGUGCGCUCUGUGCCAUGUGUGCCAUCCUGUGCCAUCCUGUGCCAUGCCAUGCCCUGUUCUGUGCCACGUGUGCCAUCCUGUGCCAUGUGUGCCAUGUGUCACUCUGUGCCGUGUUCUCUGUGCCAUGCGUGCCAUGCCAUGCCCUGUUCUGUGCCAUGUGUGCCAUCCUGUGCCACGUGUGCCAUGCCGUGCACUGUCCUGCACCAUGUGUGCCAUGUGCUGUGCGUGCCACGUGUCACUCUGUGCCAUGUGCUCUGUGCCAUGUGCUGUCCUGUGCCACAUGUGCCAUGCCAUGCCCUGUUCAUCCUGUGCCAUGUGUGCCAUGCCAUGCACUGUCCUGUGCCGCGUGUGCCAUGUGCUCUGUGUGCCACGUGUCACUCUGUGCCGUGUGCUCUGUGCUGUGUGUGCCAUCCUGUGCCGUGUGUGCCAUGUGUUCUGUGUGCCAUGUGUCACACUGUGCCGUGUUCUCUGUGCCAUGCGUGCCAUGCCAUGCCCUGUUCUGUGCCAUGUAUGCCAUGCCAUGCCCUAUUCUGUGCCAUGUGUGCCAUCCUGUGCCAUGUGUGCCAUGCCGUGCACUG
rnacentral:lncRNA from 1 species